rnacentral:rRNA from 1 species
AACGAACGCUGGCGGCAUGCCUAACACAUGCAAGUCGAACGAGAUCUUCGGGUCUAGUGGCGCACGGGUGCGUAACGCGUGGGAAUCUGCCCUUUGGUUCGGAAUAACAGUUGGAAACGACUGCUAAUACCGGAUGAUGACGAAAGUCCAAAGAUUUAUCGCCAGAGGAUGAGCCCGCGUAGGAUUAGCUAGUUGGUGUGGUAAAGGCGCACCAAGGCGACGAUCCUUAGCUGGUCUGAGAGGAUGAUCAGCCACACUGGGACUGAGACACGGCCCAGACUCCGAAGGGAGGCAGCAGUGGGGAAUAUUGGACAAUGGGCGAAAGCCUGAUCCAGCAAUGCCGCGUGAGUGAUGAAGGCCUUAGGGUUGUAAAGCUCUUUUACCCGGGAUGAUAAUGACAGUACCGGGAGAAUAAGCUCCGGCUAACUCCGUGCCAGCCGCCGCGGUAA